rnacentral:lncRNA from 1 species
AUUAAAUAUCAGUAUGCCUUUUAUUCUCCCUCAUACAGGAGAUUAGUCAGCCAGCUAGUGCUUCUGUAGUAUAUGGGUCAGUGAUUCGUGAAGCCUGAACCAGCAGCAUUGGAAUCAACAGCAGCAGCAUCUGGGAACUUGCUAGAAAUUCAUAUCCUCCAGCCCCAAAACAGGACCCACUGAAGGAGAAAUGCAGGGGGAAAGGGUUGGGCCCAGCAGUCUGUUUUAAAAAGCCAUCCAGGUGACUGUGAUGCCUAAUCAAAUUGGAGAACCACUUGUUUGGAUUAUUCUUUUCUAGAAACAAAAAGAGAAGAACUGACCUUAUGCAAAGAACAGAGUAAUCCUAGAAUAUGCACAUUCCUCAGCUACAUUACAAGAAGAAAAAGGGCUAAGCAAGAAAAGCAAUAGGGAGGACAAAGGAAAGAACCAUGUGGAGAAGGAGAAACUGGAAAACCCCAGAAGUUCCAUUUCAAGCUACAGCUCAGCUAUAGCUUGACCUCCAGUCAAGACAUGCCUAUGACAACUCUCCCUGACUGAUAAGUGAGGGAGAUAACUCUUCCAGGUGACAUGGACACAGAAAUGAAGAUGAUUGUUAGGUCAGACAGACAAGUAGUGAUAACCACCUAUCAAUCAGCAGGGGUCUCCUGACCAAUCCUGGAAGGGCACAGUUCUCAGCAAGAUCCCCAGACCAGCCCUAGGAGGACAGGGGACUCUAAAAACCUCCCUUUCCUGUCCCAAGCCCUCCCUUCCAGCCCUAAACCCAAUAAAAUUCCAAAUCCAGCUGAGUCUGGGCUCGAUUCCCUCCACCUGCUCUGUUAGAAUGGGUCUCACCCAGGAGUGAAUCUCAAUAAAGCCUUAUUCAGCAGCUUAUCUGCCUCCUUUUGGUCCCUGGUGCUUGACCUUAUAAUGAUCCUCUCCACAACUGCAAAGAGUUCACAGUCUUGGAAUGAAAAAAGACAAGAUAUGGUACCUUGAGAAUUUAAAACAAAAUCAAAAGAGGAGAAGUUGGAUGUCAGGAGAAAGAACAAAGAAAAAGGAGAAGAAAAUAAGAGGAUAAAGAGAGUAAGUAUUAAAUUUUAAAAAAUAUACUAUAAUGUUUAGGAAUCUGUUCUUUUAAUCCCUGUAAUUACUCAAUGGCAAGCUCUGCUUUGAUUUGGAGAUAUAAAAUCUGACAGUUCUUUAGUUCCCUUUGCUACACUGGACAGAACUCCUGGAGAACUACAACCAAAAGCUUUUUCUUCCCUUAUGACACUUACAGGUGUAAAAGAGCAAAAACAACACAGAGACAUAAAUCAUUCAGCUAUGUAUGGGUCAGUGUGAUAGACGAAGGUUUGUGACCCUUCCUCCUUUCAUAUAUUGAAAUCCUAACCCCCAAUGUGAUGGGAUUCAGAGAAGGGACCUUUGGGACAUAAUUAGGUCAUGAUGGUAGGGCCUUUGUGAGUGGGAUCAGUCUUCUUUCUAAAGAGAGCCCAGUAAGCUCCCUGGCCUUCCUACCAUUUGAGGACACAGAGAAGAUGGUUAUCUAUGGAUCAGGAAGGGGUUCUCACCAGAGACCUUGAAUCUGGUGAGAAUCUGCUGGUCAUGGACCAGCAAUCAGAACUAGGAUAAAUAAAUUUCUAAUGUUUAUAAACCACCUACUUUUGACAUUCAAUUAUAGCAGCCUGAAUGAACCAGGACAGUCAGAAACACCUUAUUCUUACACAAAUACUAGAUGGUCAUUUUUCUAGUCCAAUGGCAUAGUGUUAUCCUUGGAGUUUCAUCAUAAAAUCAUCUUUGGGUCUAUAAGGAGAAUCACAAGUGAGACCAUGCUACUAAAAACUAAUAUCAAAUCAAACACCAGAGUGAUAUUGGAAUUUGGAUGAUUUUAAAAAGUCACCUUGUCAAAGUGCCACAGUAGUUUUUAAAAAAUGACUUCACUGGUUCAUUUUUAAAAAUUUCCAUUCUUAAAAACAAACAAAAAAUGAAACUCAGGCAAUACAGAACUGCCGCAGGCUGGCUGGGCACAAAAUAACCGAGCUGCCACAAGGCACUUGUAGGUUCAAACAGGAACUCCUUUAUUGCCCAAACUCCACUGGCAUUCCAUGCGCACUCUCCGGGAACUCUCUCCACCCUCCACUGGCUCGCGAGAACUCAACAACUCAACAGGAACUCCGGGAGAACUCAAAAGUAGCGGGUGCCCCAGGCAGCAGGAGCCGCCCUAUUGCCGGACAGCAGGGGUCUAUAUACAACUGAAUACACAGGCUGUUUCAAUCCAGCAUCAUCCAGUCACAGCAUUAUACACUGCUCAACUUAAUUAUCAUCAUCUUAAUGGCUCGCUUCUCACCUCUCAACCACUCCUCUGGCAAAAUGCUAGGCGCCAUCCCAACUCAGCUGUGGCUCUCAACACAGAACAAUACAAAAAAAGAAGUAAAUAAUUCCUAAAGGAAAGAUCACAAACAUGUGGUGAACAGAAUGUAUAAAUACAAACAAAUGAUAAUUAUAAAUGGUUCUAGAAGGAGGGAUUGUAUAGUAUGUGCUAUUUUUUAAAACAUAGUUUUAUUUUGGAAAUAAUUUUAGGUUCACAGAAAUGUUGCAAAGAUAAUAUAAUGUGUUUUUGGUAUGUCCCUCGCUUGGCUCCCUCUAUUGUUAACAUCUUAUAUUACAUAUGUAAUAUUAUUUUGUAUUAUUACGUAUGAUAUCAAGAAUAUUUAUAAUUAGAGAGAGAGAGACAUAUGGGGAGGAGAGAGAAAUUUAUUAUAAGGAACUGGCUCACAGGGUUAAAAAGGCUAAGAAACCGCAAGACCUGUAGGGGGCUAGCUGGAGACCCAG